rnacentral:rRNA from 1 species
GAUGAACGCUAGCUACAGGCUUAACACAUGCAAGUCGAGGGGCAGCAUGUUGGUUGCUUGCAACCAACGAUGGCGACCGGCGCACGGGUGAGUAACGCGUAUCCAACCUGCCCUUGUCCAUCGGAUAACCCGUCGAAAGGCGGACUAACACGAUAUGCAGUCCACAGCAGGCAUCUAACGUGGACGAAAUGUGAAGGAGAAGGAUGGGGAUGCGUCUGAUUAGCUUGUUGGCGGGGUAACGGCCCACCAAGGCAACGAUCAGUAGGGGUUCUGAGAGGAAGGUCCCCCACAUUGAAACUGAGACACGGUCCAAACUCCUACGGGAGGCAGCAGUGAGGAAUAUUGGUCAAUGGGCGAGAGCCUGAACCAGCCAAGUAGCGUGCAGGAUGACGGCCCUAUGGGUUGUAAACUGCUUUUAUACGGGGAUAAAGUGAGCCACGUGUGGCUUAUUGCAGGUACCGUAUGAAUAAGGACCGGCUAAUUCCGUGCCAGCCGCCGCGGUAACAC